ensembl:rRNA 5S_rRNA 5S ribosomal RNA
AGAUACGGCCAUACCACCCUGAGCGCGCCCGAUCUCGUCUGAUCUCGGAAGCUAAGCAGGGUCGGGCCUGGUUAGUACUUGGAUGGGAGACCGCCUGGGAAUACCAGGUGCUGUAAGCU